rnacentral:rRNA from 1 species
UGGGGAAUAUUGGACAAUGGGCGCAAGCCUGAUCCAGCCAUGCCGCGUGAGUGAUGAAGGCCCUAGGGUUGUAAAGCCCUUUCAGCGAGGAGGAUAAUGACGUUACUCGCAGAAGAAGCCCCGGCUAACUUCGUGCCAGCAGCCGCGGUAAUACGAAGGGGGCUAGCGUUGUUCGGAAUCACUGGGCGUAAAGCGCACGUAGGCGGACUUUUAAGUCAGGGGUGAAAUCCCGGGGCUCAACCUCGGAACUGCCUUUGAUACUGGAAGUCUGGAGUCCGAGAGAGGUGAGUGGAACUCCGAGUGUAGAGGUGAAAUUCGUAGAUAUUCGGAAGAACACCAGUGGCGAAGGCGGCUCACUGGCUCGGUACUGACGCUGAGGUGCGAGAGCGUGGGGAGCAAACAGGAUUAGAUACCCUGGUAGUCCACGCCGUAAACGAUGGAAGCUAGCCGUCAGGGUGCAUGCAUCUUGGUGGCGCAGUUAACGCAUUAAGCUUCCCGCCUGGGGAGUACGGUCGCAAGAUUAAAACUUAAAGGAAUUGACGGGGUCAUAGCUGUUUCCU